UUUAGUCAAUCCAUUCCAUCAGUACAGGAAAUUGUAAUAUGUACUAUCAUCAUAUCUAAUUUACAUAUGACAGCAUCGAGACAAUAAUAUUCAAAUCAACUCAUUCAAAUUUUCAGAUAUUUGAGGAACCCUCACCAUCCUACCCUAUAGCUGCAGUGACUUCUUACCAACAAGACAAGCGUAAGAGUUGUCCUUUCUCCAUAUCCUGUUCUGCAUGGUGACAGAUUACUUACUGGAGCACAAACAACUUUUCAGCAGCUACAUCACCAAUGAAGUGACACUCUUCCCCAACAACCAUUAGUUGCCAUUAAUGUACUGGAAUGGAUACCUCCUGGACACCACAAAACUGUUGCCCCCAGGAAAUUCAGAAGCUGUGGAUAUUUGCAUGAGAUCUGCACCAGAGUACAGAGGAUUAUCCUAUCCUCUGGCUUUUAUAUUCUUUCUACCCCUUCUUUGUGGUAUUCCCUGAGCUGUGUGGGAGGAGUGGUAUAAGUGUCAUGUUUUGGGCUGAAUGCUCCAUCAUCAAUUAUCUUUGGCACUUUUUCUAAUAUAAGACUGCCUUAACUGCAUUUAUAAGAAGCUAUUCUGAGAAGGGUGGGGAGAAACAUGAAUCUAUAGGUAUAACAAACACAUACAUUAGAACUCAGCUUAAUAAUAUGUCCAUUUAACAAAACACUACUAGUAGGUACCUUUCCAGAGCUAUUGACCUUUACAGCUAUGGAUUGGACCCCAUAUACUUAGGUAUUGGAAUGCUUGGUCCCCAGUUGAUGGAACUGUUCAGAAAGGAUUAAAAGGUGUGGUCUUAUUGGAGGAGAUGUAUCACAGUGGGCAAGCUUUAAGGUUUCAAAAGCCCAUGUCCCCUCCCUGCCACUUGCUUGAGGAUCAGAUGUAAGCUCCCAAGUGCUAUUCCAGUAAUGUACUUGCCUGACUACCGCUCUGCUCCCUGAUAUAAUGGUCAUAGACUCACCUUCUUGUAAGCCCUGAUAAAUGCUAUCUUCUGUAACUUACCUGGGCCAUGGUGUCUUGUGACAGCAAUAAAAAAAAAG